rnacentral:lncRNA from 1 species
UCAGUCUUCCCUCCGCCUCCUUUUCUUCUGUCUCUCUUUUCCUGUACAUCACAUCUUUCCUUUUCCUCUGUCUUUCCCAUAAAACUGAACAUUUUUAAUGGAAUGGAGCUUCUUGAUAUAAGACCUCAAAAAUAACGUAAUCAGGCCCGAUAAACUUGUUUGCUUUUACACUGUGAUUAGGACUCAGGACAAAACAAUGUGUGACUUUUAAUUCACACUUCUCAUUCCCCUUUACAAGAAAACCACUAGGUAACAGACAGAACCUUAAGAGAAAUAAAAUCUCUAGCCUGGCAAAGGAGGUAAGGUGGUUUGUUAUUUCACUAAUUGUUUUUGUUUUUGAACCUGGGAAGUUGUUUUUGUGGUGGUGUUGGGAGUACAUUCCUAGUGCUAAUAGGUUAAGGCCCCUGUAGACAGUGUGAGAAUGGUAAGUGUUAAGGGUUCAGAUCCUGCUGCAGAUAAUCAAGUGUUGACUGUAUGUGUAAUGGUAAUUGAGCAGAAUAAGAGGGUACCAGGUAAUGUCCUGAACUUGAGACGGUUGAUAUAUAACCAUAUAUUUUCAAUGUAUGGGUUACUGUGUAAUAUUUUAUUUGUUCUUGCAGCCAGGUUGUCAAAGCAUUGGCAAUAAACUGCUAAGUAAAACAUUUAAAAAUUAUGUGCUUAAAGUCAUUUUCUUUUGAACAUUUCUGAAUUUGCAGUGAUAGCUAUUUUCAGUGAAGAAAAUAUUUGGACGAAUAGAAGAAAGGCGCAUUAGAAUUUUUUAAGGGACUCUCUUUUCAGUUUGCCAGUGAACUCCUUACAGUUGAAUAAUGAAUGUAUUUAACUCUUUCGUAGGCAUCCUCUGGUAUCACGAUUCCAAAACCCCCAAAGCCACCAGAUAAGCCGCUGAUGCCCUACAUGAGGUACAGCAGAAAGGUAGGUGCUUAGGACCUGGUAAGGAGUGAGGACACUGUCUUUGCUGCUUCUUUGCUUAACAUCCAACUUUAGAUCGGCUUAGCCAGCUUUUCUGUGCAUAUUCAGAGGAAAGGUCCAAAAAAAUACGGUUUUUAAAGCAAUUAGUUCUGAUUUCAAAAUUCCAGAACUAAAAUCCAACAAGAGGAGCGUGAUUAAAUAAACUGUUAAAAUCCUUAAGAUAGAAUGUUCUAUAGCCAUUAAAGUCAUUUCUUUUGGAGAAUAUUUAAUGACGUGAGGAAAAUGUUAAGUGAAGGAGGACUGCAAGACUACAUGAAUUAAUAUCUCAUUUUUAUAAAAAUAAUAGCAACCACAUGUUAGUUUGAAGGGGGAAAACACAGAAGACAAUAAUUAUCUCUAAGCAGUAAGCUUAUGGUAGUUUUUAUUUUCUUUUCCUCAAGUUUUCCUUUUUUUUUUUUUUUUUUUGGUGAUGAGCCUACAUUACUCUUAAAAUAAAAAAAGUAGCCAAUAUCUUUAUUAAAAGGCAGAGCAUUAUAACCACUAUCUAGAAAUGUUAAACCUUUUGAUCUUGACUAUUAUAUUUGUAUUUGAUAAUAUGAUGUACCGUGUUAUGCAAAUUAAGCACUUUUCUUCUAAAUUCACAUGAACUUUUCACCAUGUUGGCCAGGCUGGUC